UUAUACUGUGAAACUGCGAAUGGCUCAUUAAAUCAGUUAUCGUUUAUUUGAUAGUACCUUACUACAUGGAUACCUGUGGUAAUUCUAGAGCUAAUACAUGCUAAAAACCCCGACUUCAGGAAGGGGUGUAUUUAUUAGAUAAAAAACCAACGCCCUUCGGGGCUCCUUGGUGAAUCAUAAUAACUUAACGAAUCGCAUGGCCUUGCGCCGGCGAUGGUUCAUUCAAAUUUCUGCCCUAUCAACUUUCGAUGGUAGGAUAGUGGCCUACCAUGGUGGCAACGGGUAACGGGGAAUUAGGGUUCGAUUCCGGAGAGGGAGCCUGAGAAACGGCUACCACAUCCAAGGAAGGCAGCAGGCGCGCAAAUUACCCAAUCCCGAUACGGGGAGGUAGUGACAAUAAAUACUGAUACGGGGCUCUUUUGGGUCUCGUAAUUGGAAUGAGAACAAUUUAAAUCCCUUAACGAGGAACAAUUGGAGGGCAAGUCUGGUGCCAGCAGCCGCGGUAAUUCCAGCUCCAAUAGCGUAUAUUAAAGUUGUUGCAGUUAAAAAGCUCGUAGUUGAACCUUGGCUCUGGCUGGCCGGUCCGCCUCACCGCGAGUACUGGUCGGCUGGAGCUUUCUUCUGGGGAACUCAUGGCCUCACUGCUGUGGGGGAACAGGACUUUACUGUGAAAAAUAGAGUGUCAAGCA
rnacentral:rRNA from 1 species